CAUGUACUCAAACAUUUAUUCUAAAUUCCAAACUUAAAAACUAAUGUUCAAUUAAUCAUAUACCCUAAACUCUAACUAAAAAUCUUAAAAAUCUAAUCUUUUUUAUUACUUAACUUCAAAUCUAAAGUUUAAAAUCUUAACUCUAAUCCCAAAACAUUGUGUUUGUACUUUACACAAAUGUAUUUAAAAUUUAUUUAAAUAUGUACUUUACAUAAAUGCCUUUUUAUAGCAUUUCUUAUAAAAAUGAAAUCUAACCACUUUUUUAAAGUUAUAAAUCAAUAUAUCUCAUACCCUUAUUCUCCAACUUCAUAUCUUAAUCAUCGUCCAAACUCUUAUAAAAUUGAAUCAUAACUUAAAAAGUUAUAAGAAUUUCAAUCUAUUUAUUUUUUGAAACAUUAGCCCAAACUAUAACUACAUUAAUUAUGUAUAAAUGUUUUUUUGGUCGAAAUUAUAUAUAAAUUAUUAUUAUAUUAAAUGAGAAACAAUUUUCUAAUGGGUUAAUUUUGGCUCUUAAUUGAUUUCAAUCCAAAAGCCACAAAUCAAUGUCUUAUUUAUCUUUUUUUCGUUCUUUCUCAUUGGUCAAUCUCUGAAGGAUAAGGAUAGCAAUCUUGACCAUUGAUUAUUUUUGAUCCUAUGGCUAGCAAUCACAACAUCUCACAUAUCUAUCUCUUUCUUCUUUCAUUGUCACGAGAUCUAUCUCUCUUUCUUUUCUUUUCCUUUCUCUUUCAGAUCUCAAACUAAUCUCUUCUUCUCCUUUGAAUCUCUAUCUUCCUCAAUCACCACCACCACACGUCUUUUCUUUAUGACUCACCAUCACCACCACCAUGAAGAAGAAGCAAGGCUCACCAUCACCUCCACCACCACACGACCUCCGUUCGUUCGCCAUCCCAGCAUAAAUACCCCCAUGAUGUUCGUUCGUUCGCCGUCCCAGAAUCACAAGCACCACCAUACGACCUCUCUCUCUCUCUCUCUCUCUCUCUCUCUCUCUCUCUCCCUCUCCCUCUCUCUCUCUCUCUCUCUAUUUGAACAAAGAUGAGAGAAUGAGGAAGCUGGCGGCUUCAGAUUUAAGACGCAGGUAGCCGCCGAAAACCACCGUCAGUAUCGUUACAUAGUGUUUUCCCGGCGCUGUUAAUACUCGAUUUUCUUGUAAUGAAGUUAUGGUUCUUUUCAUCAUUGUCUCAGACAGGUCUGGGUUACAGAGUUGCACCAUGUGUCUAUUCGUAAUCUAUUUUUUUCACCGGUGAACUCUUCAUCUCCCCAUCUUAAAUCGCUUGAUCAUAAAUGUUCCGUAUUUCUAGCCCCUCUCUAAACCCUAUAUAUAUGAUUCUCAUCUUUGAUGAACCCAAUUUGCAUCUCCACAAAACUUAUUGAUUCCUCUUAGCUUUAACCAUCUUCUAGAAAAUGUCUCUCUCUGUCUCUCCAGUUCCUCAAACCGGCGUCCCUGGCGUUUGUCACUCAACCUUCGAGUCUCUCUGUCUUGGUCGUAGUAGUCAAAGCAUAGCCGCUGGCCUCCUCCGCUUCUGGGAUUCCCUGAACUUUAAGAAAGACAGUGAGUUUCUUGAUAAAAAGAUUCCAUGAUUCAUGGGUUCAUCCCCGCCGGACGUGCUAAUCAUUACAUGCCAUCUUUGAAAGCCGAUUCAAUUGUGAAAGUCGAUAGUUUUGAGGUUGCUAGGUGCCCAAGCAUGCACAAGAUAACUGAUCAUCCAUUCCUCAUUCGUUUCAUCCCACCAACCAUUAUUGAUGAAGUCAUCCCGGGUGCUCCUGAGAUCAAUCUUCAAUCAUGAUUAGACUGUUCGACAAUCUCCAAGUGAUUGCGAACUCAAACCUAGAACUCCGAGGUAUAUUAUCAUAUUGCAGCUGGGUUUAACGAAUCAUUAAUGAGUCAGCUAAACAAAUACAAACUACACAGCCAGCUAUUUAACAAUUUACAAAAUUACUUUCAUAGAUGCUUACGAAGAAGACGAAAAUGACAACCAAAAUCAGUGAAAUCACCUAAACGAAAAAGCAGAGUCAUUUUAUAGGUAUUUCAAAAAGUCUUCAUGUAUUUGUUUUAAAGGUUCGGUAAAAGCAACAAGUUUAAAAAUAAAAUAAAAACAUAUAACAAACAUAAUAAGGAUGAUAAAAAUUAUUAAUUAAUACACACAACUUACACAACUAAACUGGAAAAAAAAUAUUCAGAAACAAAAUGUACUCUCAACAACCUUAAUAUAAUUUAUGUACUCUCAACAAUACAAAAAACAAGUUAAAAAGACAAACAAACAAUAAGUCUUAGUGACACUGCAAGCAACAUCACGAAUUAUAUCAAUCACAUUACUAACACAGUUUAAUCCUUCAUAAAUGGAGAACAAUGCCUACACAAUUCAUCAUCACAACUCUAACCCUAUAACAAUAAAAAACUUGAAAAACAAUGAUCAACCCAAAACGCAAAAUUCACAACUACAAUAACCCUAGCAAAUAUU